ensembl:lncRNA JPX JPX transcript, XIST activator
CAUCCGCCUAUGCCCUAGGGCUAGUGGAAGACUUAAGAUGGCGGCGUUUGCACGGAGUGCAAUCACUGCGUCCUUACGGGGGUUGCAAGGCGUCCGAAGUAUGAGUCCACUAACAAAAGUCCAGAAACUCGCCAGUUAAUAGUAUUGUGUCUCUUCAAAAUAUCGGAGAAUAAUUUCUUUCUCGCUGAUCGCCUAACUUCUACUGACGAAGCUUGGAAGUUGCAGAAGGUUGGAGUGCAAUGGCGCGAUCUCGGCUGACUGCAACCUCCACCUCCUGGAUUCAAGCUAUUCUCCUGCCUCAGCCUGCCGAGUAGCUGGGAUUACAGGCAUGUGCCACCGCACCCAGCUAAUUUUGUAUUUUUUAGUAGAGAUGGGGUUUCUCCAUGUUGGUCAGGCUGGUCUUGAACUCCUGACCUCAGGUGAUCCGCCCACCUCAGCCUCCCAAAGUGCUGGGAUUACAGGCGUGAGCCACCGCGCCCGGCCAGAACAUUAGUUUUAAACUUCCUAACCCUUGGGAGAAGGCAAAACACUUGAUGAAAUCUACAUAAAGACUAAAACAUUUUACCAAUUUUGCAUUGUUUGUUUGAAAUUGCAUUGACGACUGUUUCUUCAAAGGAAAGAAGCAACUGGAACACACAUAUAACACUAACCCUUCCAGCUGCAUUAUGAGGGACCAGUACCUGUCUCAAGGCAAAAUUAUGACUUAGUUCAUCCUCACCUCUGGAGGCCAGUAAAAGUGGGUUAUAGAAGAACAAAGAGGCAUCUAGAUCUUUCACUGGGUUAUUUGGAGAGAAACAUCUCCUACCGAAGGCCAGUUUAACAAGACUGGUAGAGGAGGUUAUCUUAUCUAAUUCACAGAAAUCAACACAUUGAGUCAAGAAAAAUGAAACACAGAAACACUCUAAAUAAAAGAAGAUAAGUCUUCAGAAACCAACCCUAAUGAAAUGAAGAUAUGUGAUUAACCUGACAGGAAAUUAAAAAGAGCAACCAUAAAGAGUCUCAUGGGAGCAAUGCAUGAACAAACUGAGAAUUUUCAUAAAGAAAUAAAAGAUAACAAAAAGUAUAAAGUUGAAGAAUACAAUAACUGGACUCAAAAAUUUAAUGUGUCCAACAGAAGAAUCGAUGAAGCAGAAGAAAGGGCUAUCAAACUUGUAGAUAGGCCAUUGGAAAUCAUGUAAUGUGAGGAGAAAAAAGAAAAAAGAUUGAAGAUAGUUUAAGAGACUUUUGAGACAUCCUCAAAGGGGAAUAAUUUAUACAUUACCAGAUGGAGAAGAUAGAGGGAAAAGGACAGAAAACAUAUUUGAAGAAAUAAUGUCAGAAAACCUCAUAAUUCUGGCAAGGAAAUAGAAAUUUAGAUCUAAGAAUCUCGAACAUCAGGUAUGAUGAAUCCAAGGAGACUCACACCAAACCAUAUUGUAAUUAAAUAAAGGUUAAAGACAAUCUUCAGAGCAGCAAGGGAAUAGUCUCUUCUUACAUACAAAAUGAUCCACGGAAGACUGUCAGCAGACUUCACCAGAAAACUUUCACGCCAGAAGGCAGUCGUGAUAUAUACAAAAAGCUGAAAGGAAAACACUGCCAUCCAGGAAUACUAUCUCCAACUAUCCUGUGUUUCAAAAAUUAAGGAGAAAUAUAAAGUUCUCAAACAAAAGAUGUGGGAGUUUACCACCACUAGACCUGCACGGGAAGAAUUGCUAAAGGGAGUCCUUCAAGCUGUAGUAAAAGAGUGCUAAUUAGAAACAUGAAAAC